AUCAGAAUGACCUGGAGGGCUUGUUAAAAUACAGAAUGCUCAGUGGGCAAGGGUGGUCCUGAGGAUGUGCAUUUCUAACAAGUUCCCAGUUGAUGCUAAU
rnacentral:pre_miRNA from 1 species